GCUAUGAUAAAGUAAGUUUAGAGUGCCAUCUACCUGCUAUGAAGAUUUUGUUACGCGUGACGUUGGAUUGUUAAGACUAUUUUCGUUCAUUCUGUUGAAAGUGUACCACGCGGAAGACAACGUUUAUCAACCAUCACGGUGUGAGUACGUUAUAGAGGAAUUAAGACAGUGUUGUAUAAAACAUUCUGCUAUUUCGUUAGUCUGUGAUGGUAUAGAUACUUCCAAACCAUACGAACAUAAUACAGUUGAUUAC